rnacentral:rRNA from 1 species
UGCAUGUCUAAGUACAUGCCGUAUUAAGGCGAAACCGCGAAUGGCUCAUUAAAUCAGUUAUGGUUCCUUGGAUCGUACCUUACUACUUGGAUAACUGUGGCAAUUCUAGAGCUAAUACAUGCAGCAGAGCUCCGACCCUCUGGGGACGAGCGCUUUUAUUAGACCAAAACCAAUCGGACCUCGUGUCCGUAUUAUGUGGUGACUCUGUAUAACUUUGGGCUGAUCGCACGGGCUCGUCCCGGCGACGUAUCUUUCAAGUGUCUGCCUUAUCAACUGUCGAUGGUAGGUUACGCGCCUACCAUGGUCGUAACGGGUGACGGGGAAUCAGGGUUCGAUUCCGGAGAGGGAGCCUGAGAAACGGCUACCACAUCCAAGGAAGGCAGCAGGCGCGCAAAUUACCCACUCCCAGAACGGGGAGGUAGUGACGAAAAAUAACAAUACGGGACUCUUUUGAGACCCCGUAAUUGGAAUGAGUACACUCUAAAUCCUUUAACGAGGAUCAAUUGGAGGGCAAGUCUGGUGCCAGCAGCCGCGGUAAUUCCAGCUCCAAUAGCGUAUAUUAAAGUUGUUGCGGUUAAAAAGCUCGUAGUUGGAUCUCAGUUCCAGACGGGUGGUCCGCCUACCGGUGGUUACUGCCUGUUCUGAACAGCCAGCCGGUUUCUCUUGAUGAUCUUCACCGGUUGUCUUGGGUGACCGGCAAGUUUACUUUGAAAAAAUUAGAGUGCUCAAAGCAGGCGUGACGCCUGAAUAAUGGUGCAUGGAAUAAUGGAAUAGGACCUCGGUUCUAUUUUGUUGGUUUUCGGAAUACGAGGUAAUGAUUAAGAGGGACAGACGGGGGCAUUCGUAUUGCGACGCUAGAGGUGAAA